rnacentral:tRNA from 1 species
UGGAUCACCUCCUUAAAGGGAGACCUAAUUCAGGUAGGAGACGAAAAAAAAGUAGUCCCUACCAAGAAUCAAUCCCAAAAGGUCGGAGCGAGGCAAAAUUGGCUUUCAAACUAGGUUCUGGGUUCACACAAGACCUGAAUCAGGAACAAGGGCUAUUAGCUCAGGUGGUUAGAGCGCACCCCUGAUAAGGGUGAGGUCCCUGGUUCGAGUCCAGGAUGGCCCACCUGUACAGGUGGCAAAAAGAAAGAAAAGAAGCGAGGAAUCAGCACCUUAUCUUACUUAUAUAGUAAGAGAGAAUGCUGGCUCUGAGUUCAGAGUCCAGAGGAACCUUGAAAACUGCAUAA